rnacentral:rRNA from 1 species
AGGGAAUCUUCCACAAUGGACGCAAGUCUGAUGGAGCAACGCCGCGUGAGUGAAGAAGGCUUUCGGGUCGUAAAACUCUGUUAUUGAAGAAGAACGUGCGUGACAGUAACUGGUCAUGCAGUGACGGUAUUCAAUCAGAAAGUCACGGCUAACUACGUGCCAGCAGCCGCGGUAAUACGUAGGUGGCAAGCGUUGUCCGGAUUUAUUGGGCGUAAAGCGAGUGCAGGCGGUCUUUUAAGUCUGAUGUGAAAGCCUUCGGCUUAACCGAAGAAGGGCAUCGGAAACUGGGAGACUUGAGUGCAGAAGAGGAGAGUGGAACUCCAUGUGUAGCGGUGAAAUGCGUAGAUAUAUGGAAGAACACCAGUGGCGAAGGCGGCUCUCUGGUCUGUAACUGACGCUGAGGCUCGAAAGCGUGGGUAGCAAACAGGAUUAGAUACCCUGGUAGUCCACGCCGU